rnacentral:rRNA from 1 species
UAUGGGACUCUUUUGAAGUCCCGUAAUUCAAAUGAGUACGCUCUAAAUCCUGUAACAAGGAUCAAUUGGAGGGCAAGUCUGGUGCCAGCAGCCGCGGUAAUUACUCCAGCUGCAA